rnacentral:lncRNA from 1 species
CUUGCUUUGGUGAUUUUGUCAUAACUAAGAGUGAACUCUGAGGGCUACUGAGGUAGAGGUUUCUGUUGCAUCUCCAUACCUUCUUGUCUCUGAGAUCCCCACCCUAGAAGAAUCCUUCCUGUCAAGUGGAAAGAGACUUUAGACCAUUAUUUUCAGAAACACCACAUGAAGAAGUGGGUUCUAAGAGAAUGAAACCAUCUUUGAAAGGGAGAAUAAAAGAGCUCCCUUCAUGGAAAACAAGUUUAUCUUGGCUCCACAGAAAUCUCUACCUCCUGUAACUGAUUACUUCUCUGAGUAUUGAUUACACGAUGUCCUUAGAUGCUCCUUGAGAAGGCUGUGAGGUUAGAUUGGGCUACCAGACAAGUUGAAAAUCAAUAUUUUUUCUUGUUCCAAAUACAGCACGUAAAAGUUGAACCAGUGUUUAUAGUAUCAAAGAAAUACCUAAAAGGAAGAAAGACAAACAGAACACCUGGACUCUUGAGGGCAUCUGGAAUUAAUACGGAAUUUGUUCCUGUAUUUUGGAAAGUCACCGUGCUAGGUACUACUGAUUGGAGUGAAACAAAUGUGGCAUUUUUGCAGCACAUAUGACUACUUUGUAAUAGUCACAAACUUCAUUCAAGAGAGACUGAUUCAACAUGUCUCAUGUAACAGGCAUUGUGGUAAGUGCAAGAAAAAUAGAAGUAAAAGAGACUUUGUGGUUAUUUGGUCACAGAUGUUAUGAAGGAGAGGAAACAGUGCUUUGAGUAACAGCUGGAUAUGACAAGGUUUACGUGAUCAGGGAAAGCACUGAGUUGGUAUCUGAAAGAAGAUGAGUUCACUGGCUGAAUAGGGAGAGAAUUUCAGGGGGAGGGAGCAGCAAAAACUAAGGUCCAGUGUCAGGAAUGUGACUGGAACCAAAGAAGAUAGUUGAGGAAAUCCAGACAGGCCACUGUCACUGAGUGCAGGGAGCAGAGGAGAGCCGUGUGUCCCAGGCCACGCAGAGCCACCUCAGACAUAACAAGUAUUUUACUCUCCGUUUUGGGAGUUGCAAGAAGCAAUUAAAACCUAAGCAAACCAGGAGAAUCUCAUUCUGGCAGGAUCACUCAGUCUUUCAUAUUGAAAGGAGGCGAGAAGGGGGUAGAGUAAAUGGAAGAAGGGAUGCCUGGGUGGUUCAGUCGGUUAAGCAUCCCACUCUUGAUUUCAGCUCAGGUCAUGAUUUCAGGGUUCAUGGGAUCGAGUCGUGAGUCGGGCUCUGCACUGACAGUGUGGAGCCUGCUUGGGAUCUCUCUCUCUCCCUCUCUCUGCCUCCCCCCACCCCAUUCACGCCCAUGCUUACUCUCUCUCUGAAAAUAAUAAAUAAAUAAACAGAAAAAAAAGUAUAUGGAAG